GACGAAGGAUGCAAGCGUUAUCCGGAUUCAUUGGGUUUAAAGGGAGCGUAGGUGGCCUUAUAAGUCAGUGGUGAAAUCUCUCGGCUUAACUGAGAAAUUGCCAUUGAUACUGUAGGGCUUGAGUACAGUUGCUGUGGGCGGAAUAUGACAUGUAGUGGUGAAAUGCGCAGAUAUCAGGAGGAACACCGGUGGCGAAGGCGGGUCUCUGGGCCGAUACUGACGCUGAGGAGCGAAAGCGUGGGGAGCGAACAGG
rnacentral:rRNA from 1 species